UGGCUCAGGACGAACGCUGGCGGCGUGCUUAACACAUGCAAGUCGAACGGAGCACCUGAGGAUGAAGCUUCGGCAGAAUCCUUGGACUGCUUAGUGGCGGACGGUGAGUAACACGUGAGUAACCUGCCCUUGAGUGGGGAAUAACACACCGAAAAGGUGUGCUAAUACCGCAUAACAUAUGCUUGCCGCAUGACAGGCAUAUCAAAGAUUUAUUGCUCAAGGAUGGGCUCGCGUCCGAUUAGCUAGUUGGUGAGGUAACGGCCCACCAAGGCGACGAUCAGUAGCCGGCCUGAGAGGGUGAACGGCCACAUUGGGACUGAGACACGGCCCAAACUCCUACGGGAGGCAGCAGUGGGGAAUAUUGGGCAAUGGGGGAAACCCUGACCCAGCGACGCCGCGUGAGGGAAGACGGUCUUCGGAUUGUAAACCUUAGUCAACAGGGAAGAAGAAAGUGACGGUACCUGUGGAGGAAGCCACGGCUAACUACGUG
rnacentral:rRNA from 1 species